rnacentral:rRNA from 1 species
AUUGAACGCUGGCGGCAUGCCUUACACAUGCAAGUCGAACGGUAACAGGUCUUCGGAUGCUGACGAGUGGCGAACGGGUGAGUAAUACAUCGGAGCGUGCCCAGUAGUGGGGGAUAACUACUCGAAAGAGUGGCUAAUACCGCAUGAGAUCUACGGAUGAAAGCAGGGGAUCGCAAGACCUUGUGCUACUAGAGCGGCCGAUGGCAGAUUAGGUAGUUGGUGGGAUAAAAGCUUACCAAGCCGACGAUCUGUAGCUGGUCUGAGAGGACGAUCAGCCACACUGGGACUGAGACACGGCCCAGACUCCUACGGGAGGCAGCAGUGGGGAAUUUUGGACAAUGGGCGCAAGCCUGAUCCAGCAAUGCCGCGUGCAGGAUGAAGGCCUUCGGGUUGUAAACUGCUUUUGUACGGAACGAAAAGCCCUGGGUUAAUACCCUGGGGUCAUGACGGUACCGUAAGAAUAAGCACCGGCUAACUACGUGCCAGCCGCCGCAGUAA